rnacentral:rRNA from 1 species
UACGUAGGGGGCAAGCGUUGUCCGGAUUUAUUGGUCGUAAAGAGCUCGUAGGCGGCUCACUAAGUCGGAUGUGAAAACUCCAGGCUCAACCUGGAGACGCCAUUCGAUACUGGUGUGGCUUGAGUUCGGUAGGGGAGCACGGAAUUCCUGGUGUAGCGGUGAAAUGCGUAGAUAUCCGGAGGAACACCGGUGGCGAAGGCGGCUUCCUGGACCGAUUACUGACGCUGAGGCGCGAAAGCUAGGGGAGCAAACGGG